AGCUUCACAAGUCCUGCAUCCAUUGAACUUGUGAGUUUUUAGACAGUUUCUGCUUGAAUUUGUUUGCAAGAUGUCAGAAUAGCCUCCCAGAGCUGCUUUUUGGAUGUAAACUGCCUCCCACCCUCAUAGAUCUUUUGCUUGAGGAUGCUUCAAAGGUUAUCAAUAGGACUGAGGUCAGGGGAGGAUGAGGGCCACACCAUAACUUUAUCUCCUUUUAUCCCCAUAGCAGCCAUUGAUGCAGAGGUAUUCUUUGCAGCAUGAGAUGGUGCAUUAUCAUGCAUGAAGAUGAGUUUUUUUACGGAAAGCAUAGUUCUUCCUUCUGUACCAGGGAAGAAAGUGGUCAGUCAGAAACACCACAUACUUUGCAGAGGUCAUCUUUACGCCUUAAGGGACCCUAAAGGGGCUGACCAGCUCUCUUCCCAUGAUUCCGGCCCAAAACAUGACUCCAGCACCGCCUUGCUGACGUUGCAGCCUUGUUGGAACAGGGUGGCUGUCCACCAACCAUCCACUACUCCAUCCAUCUGGACCAUCCAGGGUUGCACGGCACUCAUCAGUGAACAGGACUGUUUGAAAAUUAGUCUUCAUUAGUGAUGUCCCGAACGGUUCGGCGAACGGUUCGCCGCGGACUCAUCAUUGAGUAAACUUUGACCCUGUACCUCACAGUCAGCAGACACA